AUUGAACGCUGGCGGCAGGCCUAACACAUGCAAGUCGAACGAGAGGCGGACGGGUGAGUAAUGUCUGGGAAACUGCCUGAUGGAGGGGGAUAACUACUGGAAACGGUAGCUAAUACCGCAUACCAUCAGAUGUGCCCAGAGGGGAUUAGAUAGUUGGUGGGGUAACGGCUCACCAAGGCGACGAUCCCUAGCUGGUCUGAGAGGAUGACCAUCCACACUGGAACUGCGACACGGUCAAUACUCCUACGUGAGGCAGCAGUUGGGAAUAUUGCACAAGGUGCGCAAGCCUGAUGCAGCCAUGCCGCGUGUAUGAAGAAGGCCUUCGGGUUGUAAAGUACUUUCAGCGGGGAGGCGUUACCCGAAGAAGAAGCACCGGCUAACUCCGUGCCAGCCGCCGCGGUAAUAC
rnacentral:rRNA from 1 species